CGUCUUUCAUCCAGGUUGUAAUUGCAGUGGAAGGGGAGACCAAACAUUCAAAGAUUGCUGAAGAGCCAACGAACUCUGAUUCUGUCAAGACGAUGUCUUUGAUUUCUUUCACAAACUUCAAUGGCACAGCCUUUAGCUGUUUAGGAAAAUGCAAGAAGACAUAUGUAGAUGAGACAAAGAUAGACCAUGUCUAUACAUGUAUGAAAUGGAUGGGAGACAAAGGAAGCCACGCUCAUGAGCCAGGACCAUAAAAGCCACAAAAAUAUAAGAAAUGAAUGGGACUACUCUCUGAUCAUUGAAAAAGAGAGACAGAACAUUUGAUGGAGGCAGAAAGAGCGAGGAGUCAGCAGCGGGCAUGGCAUGACAAGCAACCCAGGAACCAUGGGGUAGCAGAAGACACAGCUCUAUGCAAUCUCACAGUACAAUCAUGUCUGAAAAUACACACUUCUAAAGUCAUACAUUUCUUGCAAGCAUCAUUUCAGAUGGCUGGAUAGAAGUUUGAAGCAGGCUAAUAAAACUUUGGAAGUGGCAUUUUUUACCUUU
rnacentral:antisense_RNA from 1 species